UGUGAUUCCAGGCCACCGCUUCUGUUCUGUGACCCUGCGCAGCUCCUCUGCAGAAGGGUGAUCCGGGCCGCACCUGAGCCGCCUGGUGGGGCCCUCUCCUCAGUGGCAAGAGGAGAAUCCGCAAGCAGGUGCUCUAGUGGCACUGAAGAAACCCGCUACGGGCACUGCAGAGCAGGCAAGAAGGGAUCCACUGGCUCCUUCCGAGCCCUCUGCCCAGCACACCAGCAACCUCCUAGGUGACGGUGAUCAGCAAGGCAGCAAGCACCCGGACAACACCCAGCAACCAGAAGACACCCAGCAGCUCCCAGCAGGGGCAUGCAGCAGCACAUAUGUGGAUGGCAGAGUGAGUAACAAAAAUACAGCACUCUUCUUGGUAACUUUGUAGGAAAAUACAGAUUAAAACAGGCUCACAUGAGCAUGCAUGUGUACAAAUGGAAGUUAAUACAUUUUGUGUGAAAUAGAAAUUAGAGACAAUUUUUUUCAAUCUGAAAAUGAAUUCCAAAGCCAUUCUGUCAAUUGCAUCUUUGUUGACCACUAAUGGAGUUGGUUAACCUGUGCUGCCCAUAGUUAACUCAAUAGUCAGUAAUAAAUACAGUGAUUAAGCAUCACUAGCCAUGCAAAGUUCAGGCCUGUAGCAGGAGGAAAGUCUGUCAGCUUUCACAUUGCAAGAGGAGAUCACUUAUCUUCCAAAUCAAAUGCAGUCAUGCCUAAAUAAAAAAAGAAAUUACAGGCCCCAAACUGUCCUGAUAGAAAAAUAUAUUGCUGCACUCUGUUAACAAUCAACUAAACAAUCCACAACAAAUUUACUUGAUAAUGAGGAACUAAAUGAUUAGUAAUUUCUAAUUAAAAAUCAAGUAUAGCAGCAAUCAAAAACUGGAUCUAAAUGAAGACAAAACUAAUGAUUCAUUGAUAACAAAGUACCAUUUCCAAAAAUUGCUGAAAUUGCAAUGAACAGAUACAUAGAGUAGGAGUUGUGCAGUGCUGUCAAGCAUCAAGUGACAGCCAGAUAUUUUAGUAGAAUACUGAUGAGAAUCUGCAGCGAACUCUAACACAAUUAUUUUUAGUUUGUUAUUUCAAUAGCCCUUUUUAAAUCACUGGAUAUUAGCUAAACUUCAGUCAUGUGAGAAAACAAAUGCCUGUGGAUUUGUGAUCUUUUGCUCCCAAGAACCAUGCAAAGGAUUAUAAAUGUGGGGUAGGUGUUGCCCACCAGUGAACUUCAGACUGUACUCAGCAAGGUUGAGUUGAACACUGACAUCCACCUGUAAGAGUGACUUCCCCCAGCCUAGGCUGGAACUCAGUUCUCC
rnacentral:lncRNA from 1 species